CCUACGGGUGGCAGCAGUGGGGAAUAUUGCGCAAUGGGCGAAAGCCUGACGCAGCGACGCCGCGUGAGGGAUGAAGGUCUUCGGAUCGUAAACCUCUGUCAGUAGCGAAGAACGGUCACUGUGCUAAUCAGCAGUGAAUUGACGUUACCUGCAAAGGAAGCACCGGCUAACUCCGUGCCAGCAGCCGCGGUAAUACGGAGGGUGCGAGCGUUAAUCGGAAUUACUGGGCGUAAAGCGCUCGUAGGCGGUAUGUCAAGUCAAGUGUGAAAUCCCCGCGCUCAACGUGGGAACGGCCUUUGAAACUGGCAAAAUGGAGUGUGUGAGAGGAUAGUGGAAUUCCAGGUGUAGGAGUGAAAGCCGUAGAUAUCUGGAGGAACAUCAGUGGCGAAGGCGACGAUCUGGCACAUAACUGACGCUGAGGAGCGAAAGCGUGGGUAGCAAACAGGAUUAGAUACCCCAGUAGUC
rnacentral:rRNA from 1 species